UGAGGGGCCAGGAGCUGAUCUACAUCAAUGGGGCGCUGGCAAUGACCUCACCUCCAGCCUCACCUCUUGCCUGCUCACCACCGGUCGUUGAUGGGGAGACCAGAAUUAGAUGCAUCUAUGGAGCCAACACUUGGAGACUUGCGAGAUGAUGUGAUGGAGUCCUGACAGACAGACAGGCUUGAUACUGAUGCAGAAGAAUGGAGAGAGACCUGGCACUCAACACAUCCCCAAUGUGGGACUGAAGAUGGAGAGGACUGUAGACGCGUUUGCCAGAUGCCAGCCUCUUCGUUUGAUGGAGAGAAAAUAAUUGGGUCGUUUUUAUCUGACCUGUUCGAAUUUCAACAACAUACCUGUUUGUGUGUCAGAUAUUACCUAUCCUAACAGCGAUUGCUAUAGAACAGUGACUAUGUGUGUAUAUGUUCACAGAAACAUGUAUGGAUCCAGCACAUGGAG